rnacentral:rRNA from 1 species
UACGGGGGGAGCAAGCGUUGUUCGGAUUUACUGGGCGUAAAGGGCGCGUAGGCGGUCAGCACAAGUCAGUUGUGAAAUCUCCGGGCUUAACUCGGAAAGGUCAGCUGAUACUGUGCGACUAGAGUGCAGAAGGGGCAACUGGAAUUCUCGGUGUAGCGGUGAAAUGCGUAGAUAUCAAGAGGAACACCUGAGGUGAAGACGGGUUGCUGGGCUGACACUGACGCUGAGUGCGCGAAAGCUAGGGUAGCAAACGGG